rnacentral:rRNA from 1 species
ACGAACGCUGGCGGCGUGCCUAAUACCUGCAAGUCGCGCGCAGUUUUUCUGGUGCUUGCACUAGAAAAACUUAGCGGCGAACGGGUGAGUAACACGUAAAGAACCUGCCUCAUAGACUGGGACAACUAUUGGAAACGAUAGCUAAUACCGGAUAACAGUAUUUCUCGCAUGAGAGAUAUUUAAAAGUUGGUUAUGCUAACACUAUGAGAUGGCUUUGCGGUGCAUUAGCUAGUUGGUGGGGUAAAGGCCCACCAAGGCGACGAUGCAUAGCCGACCUGAGAGGGUGAUCGGCCACACUGGGACUGAGACACGGCCCAGACUCCUACGGGAGGCAGCAGUAGGGAAUCUUCCGCAAUGGGCGAAAGCCUGACGGAGCAACGCCGCGUGAGUGAAGAAGGAUUUCGGUUCGUAAAGCUCUGUUGUUAGGGAAGAAUGGAUAUGUAGUAACUAUACAUGUAAGAGACGGUACCUAACCAGAAAGCCACGGCUAACUACGUG